CUCCCGGCUGCCUUUCUGUUCGGAACCAAGAGUUUACAAGUGGCCUUUCAAAGGCCCAGCAGCCCUGCAGGGCCAAGCUGCAGCAUCUGUGAAGAUGUUACCCUCCGCCCUUCCCAACCGCACAGCCUCAGACCCAUUUUCUCCCCCCUGGGUUGCGAGGGAGGGAGUUUUCCAUGGCCAUGCCCAAAUCUUCUCCAAGAGCGCCCUCUGCUGGAUGACAUCAGGACCCCGACAGCCUCAGCCAUCUUGGAAGUAGAGCCAACUGGAGUUUUGAGAGAAUAAAAAGGAAGGUGGUGCUGAUGUGACUUAACGGAGUCCUCAGGGUGGAGACUAUAGUUGCAGUGGUAGCUUCAUGAGUAGAGGAAGAGAGAUUUUAGCCUGGCAGUCUUUCUGUCACAUCAUGUGAUGUGAAGUGCCAUCGUGGGAACUCCAUCAGUAAGAGGGUCCUCAGCACACAGGACCCUUUGACCUUUUGCACUUCUCUGCCUCCAGACAGUGAGAAAUACACUAACUUCCUUUGCAAGUAACCUAGUUUGUGGAGAUCAGUUAAAGGGAUGAGAAACAGACUGGUAGCAAGAGACUGAAGAACGCCGCUGGAAACUGCUGCUGACAUUGUCAUAAAACAUGGAAGAAAUUCCUAUUUGAGACUCUGUCCCAGCUCAUUGUAUCCUUAAGAGACCUAGAAAUAAACCACUCAGCUCCUCCCCACGAUGACCUCCACUCUGUUUACACAGGGGCUGGCCAGAUGUUAGAAAAAGCAAGCAAACACUUGCAGCUGUUAUCAGGGCGAGGGUGGAGCACACGAGGUUCCCAAGUUUUCAUCCAACACAUCAGAACAUAGUUAAUUUUUACUGCUUUUGGGUUAACUGUCUUCCUCGUCCUUAACUUUUAACACUUAGUAUUGAAGCUUGUGUCGAGAGAUGCAAAGGGAUCCCUGAGCUAACUUUAGCCCAUGGCCAAGGCAAGUUGUCCUCUAUAACCUUGGGAGAAAUCUCUCUUCAUCUUUAGUUCCCCUUUGUUCGAGAAGGAUGGCUCUUUGUAGCAAGUAGAGUUUAGAAGUAUGCAGGAGUCAGUGUUUUGUGGUGAGUCCAUGGGCUUUGGAAUUAUGUAAUGUCUAGUUUUGAAUCCCAUCCUAGCCAUUCACUGAUCAUGUGAUUUUGGGUUACACAGGCUGGAGUCUUAUUACAUUGCUUAUUUAUUGAAUUAAAUUCCUAUCUUGUAGCUGUAUAGAGUAUCACUUCCAUUCCUGUGCAGAGGGCACGGUUAAUGAUUAACUGUUUCCACUGGGACACUACAAUAAGAGGUAGAUUGAAAUGACAUUCAAGGGAACAGACACAGAAAAUUAGGAAACCUUUGUUUCUUAGAAAUCUAUGGAAACAGACCAGUUUCUAGCAGACAUUAAGGGUGGCGCUGCUUGCCAGUAUAGAACCCCCUUGUUUGUUUUCUCACAGCUAACACAAGCCUUGAUUGCUUUUCUUCAAGGAGAGGGAUGCAAAAAGCCUGACCUCUAGUGGUCCCUGCCUUUGUGUUGGACUGAAGGGGAAGGGCUAAGACUAUAAGAACAAUCAAGACUUCACUAGCACACUGGAAACCAACGUCACACAUUUCCUAGUUAAAUUAACUUGUAGUUGUGUUUCCAUUGUUUUUUAACCUAAGCUGGCUUGGAGCUUACUCUCUAGCUGAGGAUGGACUUGGAUUCCUGACGCUCCUCCUUCAGCCACCCAGGUACUGAGGUUACAGGCGUGGGCCACUAUGUGUGCCUGACAAGCUGUCUCAUUUGGUAAGAACUUAGGACAAAUUGUUAGAUGUCUCGCUACACUUGUGAGUUUGCAGUCCAGUUUAAGAUGUGGCACAGGAGGUUUGCAGGUGCUCUGAGUUCCAGAUCCUAUCAUCUUGUAGCAUCUGUCACACGAGUCAGCUCAUUGUUGACAUAGAGAAAGCAGAUAACCACUGGGUAUAUUUCACAGAGAGUUUCCUUAAUAUUGAGAGUCAGACAUCAAAGUGAUAUCCAAGACUGCUUUGCUCAAUGCCUCCAGAGGCCUGGCCCCUCGAGACUUUGAUCUCUUUCUUUUUUUCUCCCAGUAGGUCUGUGUUAACAGGCAUUUCACACAGACCCCUGUCCUCUUGACACCAUGUAAACUUUGCCUCAGAGCCAGAGCUUUGAAGCCCUCAAUUAAGGUCUGUUCACUUUAGCAAACCAGUCAUAUUCACUCAAAACCUGGAACCAGACCCAUGUUAAACGUCUUAAGUAUUCAGAAGUUCAGGAGCAAACGAGGUCAUUACCAACAUUAUGCUUUCUCUCUCUCUCUCUCUCUCUCUCUCUCUCUCUCUCUCUCUCUCUCUCUCUUAACUUUAUUUUUCAACUAGCUUACACAGGAUUCGAUUUCAUCAUGAUGUCUUUAAACAAAAUUUGUUUUGUUGGCCCCCUUUCUCCUCUCUUCUCCCUCAUCUCUCCUGGCUCUCCUGUGUACCAUUCCACCUACUGGAGGCAUCCGUUUCUCUUCCGCUUUAAUUGUCAUUUGUGCCUUCCCUCUUCUUCAAUACUUCUCUCCCUGUGUCAUGGUCUUCCUUCUUGUUCUAUAGCCAGUAUACUCUAUGUAUCCCCAGUCAUGUAGGCACAUGGAAGCAUUAUAAAUGAGGAUGCUCAUAUGUGAAGGACAUGCAAUUUUUCCUUUCUUGUAUCUGAGUCAUAGUACUUUUUUGCUUCAUAGUACAUUUCAAUUUCAUCCAUUGCCUGCAAAUUUAAUGAUUUCAUUUUCCUUAAUGGCCAAAUAAAUUUUCAUUGGAUAUAUG
ensembl:lincRNA A230028O05Rik RIKEN cDNA A230028O05 gene